AUGCUCUGUCUUCCUGGAGAAAGAUCCACACCAACCGCUCUCCAUACACUCACUGUGCGAAGGCAGGAGCGGGGACCACUGUCCGCUCACUGCUGGGACACCGGUUCGGAGCCCAGGCUCAGGGCAGGAGCGGGGACCACUGUCAGCUCACUGCUGGGACACCAGUUCGGAGCCCAGGCUCGGCGGGCAGGAGUGGGGACCACUGUCAGCUCACUGCUGGGACACUGGUUCAGAGCCCAGGCUCAGGGCAGGAGCGGGGACCACUGUCAGCUCACUGCUGGGACACUGGUUCGGAGCCCAGGCUCGGCGGGCAGGGGCGGGGACCACUGUCAGCUCACUGCUGGGACACCGGUUCGGAGCCCAGGCUCGGGGCAGGAGCGGGGACCACUGUCAGCUCACUGCUGGGACACCGGUUCGGAGCCCAGGCUCGGCGGGCAGGGGCGGGGACCACUGUCAGCUCACUGCUGGGACACUGGUUCAGAGCCCAGGCUCGGGGCAGGAGCGGGGACCACUGUCAGCUCACUGCUGGGACACCGGUUCAGAGCCCAGGCUCGGCGGGCAGGAGCGGGGACCACUGUCAGCUCACUGCUGGGACACUGGUUCGGAGCCCAGGCUCGGCGGGCAGGGGCGGGGACCACUGUCAGCUCACUGCUGGGACACUGGUUCAGAGCCCAGGCUCGGGGCAGGAGCGGGGACCACUGUCAGCUCACUGCUGGGACACCGGUUCAGAGCCCAGGCUCGGCGGGCAGGAGCGGGGACCACUGUCAGCUCACUGCUGGGACACUGGUUCGGAGCCCAGGCUCGGCGGGCAGGGGCGGGGACCACUGUCAGCUCACUGCUGGGACACUGGUUCGGAGCCCAGGCUCGGCGGGCAGGGGCGGGGACCACUGUCAGCUCACUGCUGGGACACUGGUUCGGAGCCCAGGCUCAGGGCAGGAGCGGGGACCACUGUCAGCUCACUGCUGGGACACUGGUUCGGAGCCCAGGCUCGGCGGGCAGGGGCGGGAACCACUGUCAGCUCACUGCUGGGACACUGAUUCGGAGCCCAGGCUCGGCGGGCAGGGGCGGGGACCACUGUCAGCUCACUGCUGGGACACUGGUUCGGAGCCCAGGCUCAGGGCAGGAGCGGGGACCACUGUCAGCUCACUGCUGGGGACACCUACCUGCCGUGUUGGAAUGCCUGGGUUCAAAUCCUGGCUCCACUCUCCAUUCCAAAUUCCUGCUAAGGCACACCCAGGUUUCAGCAGAGAUCGGCUGAAGAAGUCAGGUUCCUUCCACCCACAUGGGAGCCCUGGAUGGAGCUCCCAGCUCCAGCCUGGCCCAGCCCUGGCUGUCGCAGGCUUUUGGGGAGUGAGCCAGCAGAUCUUCACUCUCAGAUUCUCUCCUUUGUCUACACCUUUACAUUUAAAAUAA
rnacentral:lncRNA from 1 species